GUUCAGAGAAUAUUGGCUUCACGAGGACACCUUCUUGAUCUCUAUGUCCUUUAUACAGUCACCACCAUUUAACAUGAUGCCUGACCCAUGGGAAGCCUGAAGAGGAGCAGAAAGUAGAAAUAUCUGUAUAUACCAAGAAAAGCAGAUUUUAAACAUCUUCAGUAAUAGAGGAAACACCAAUAAUGGCACGUGACUGUGUUCUCCCCUCACUCCUUCUGUCUCCUGACCGCAGUGCCUCCCUGUGUGGCACUACAUGGCAUGACCUCCCUAUCCUCUCGAGAAUUACAAAUAACAAACUGUCUUUUCAAUAGUCUGAAUAAUAACCAAACCUACAUUUUAAAACACUAGAGAUGACUAAAAUGAGAAAAGAGAGAAGU
rnacentral:lncRNA from 10 species